UGUCAGGUGGCGCUAUGUAAAGUUACGUCUGGCAAAAUGUGGGGAGAUAGCGUUCUCAUUUUAUUAAUUUCGGUUUUUACAGCUUUAUUAGGAGAAGGUUUGACAUGGCUGAUGGUAUAUCGAACUGAAAAAUAUCAAAAACUCAAAGCAGAAGUUGAAAGGCAAAGCAAACGUUUAGAGAAAAGGAAAGAAGUUCAUGGCGACACUGUCGAUAGGCAACAGAAAAAGAAGAUUG